GAUGAAGAACGUAGCGAAAUGCGAUAAGUAAUGUGAAAUUGCAGAAUUCAGUGAAUCAUCGAAUCUUUGAACGCACAUUGCGCCCGCCAGUAUUCUGGCGGGCAUGCCUGUUCGAGCGUCAUUACAACCCUCAGGCCCCCGGGCCUGGCGUUGGGGAUCGGCGGAGCCCCCCGUGGGCACACGCCGUCCCCCAAAUACAGUGGCGGUCCCGCCGCAGCUUCCAUCGCGUAGUAGCUAACACCUCGCGACUGGAGAGCGGCGCGGCCACGCCGUAAAACACCCAACUCUUCUGAAGUUGACCUCGAAUCAGGUAGGAAUACCCGCUGAACUUAAGCAUAUCAAUAAGCGGAGGA
rnacentral:misc_RNA from 1 species